CCUACGGGGGGCAGCAGUGAGGGAUAUUGCACAAUGGGGGAAACCCUGAUGCAGCAACGCCGCGUGGGUGAAGAAGGCCUUCGGGUCGUAAAACCCUUUUCUAGGGGAAGAGGAAGGACAGUACCCUAGGAAUAAGUCUCGGCUAACUACGUGCCAGCAGCCGCGGUAAGACGUAGGAGGCGAGCGUUAUCCGGAUUUAUUGGGCGUAAAGGGCAAGUAGGCGGUUGUCAAAGUUGGGCGUGACAGACCCUGGCUUAACUGGGGGAGGUCGUUCAAAACUAGGCAACUAGAGGACAGAAGAGGAAAGCAGAACUCCUGAUGUAGCGGUGGAAUGCUCAGAUAUCAGGAAGAAUACCAGUGGCGAAGGCGGCUUUCUGGUCUGUACCUGACGCUGAGAGGCGAAGGCCAGGGUAGCGAACGGGCUUAGAUACCCCGGUAGUC
rnacentral:rRNA from 1 species